GACGAACGCUGGCGGCGUGCUUAACACAUGCAAGUCGAACGAGCUCCAACCAGUCGCAAGACUGGGGAAGAGCUAGUGGCGAACGGGUGAGUAACACGUGAGCAACCUGCCUCGAAGACUGGGAUAACAGCGGGAAACCGCUGCUAAUACCGGAUAUCCCCAUCGGGCCGCAUGACCUGAUGAGGAAAUGAAUUUCGCUUCGAGAGGGGCUCGCGGGCUAUCAGGUUGUUGGUGAGGUAACGGCCCACCAAGCCUACGACGGCUAGCUGGUCUGAGAGGACGACCAACCACACUGGGACUGAGACACGGCCCAGACUCCUACGGGAGGCAGCAGUGGGGAAUCUUGCGCAAUGGGCGAAAGCCUGACGCAGCAACGCCGCGUGCGGGAUGACGGCCUUCGGGUUGUAAACCGCUUUCAGCAGGGACGAAAUUGACGGUACCUGCAGAAGAAGCCCCGGCCAACUACGUGCCAGCCGCCGCAGUAAUAC
rnacentral:rRNA from 1 species